rnacentral:rRNA from 1 species
CCUACGGGAGGCAGCAGUAGGGAAUCUUCCACAAUGGGCGAAAGCCUGAUGGAGCAACACCGCGUGGGUGAAGAAGGUCUUCGGAUCGUAAAACCCUGUUGUUAGAGAAGAAAGUGCGUGAGAGUAACUGUUCACGUUUCGACGGUAUCUAACCAGAAAGCCACGGCUAACUACGUUCCAGCAGCCGCGGUAAUACGUAGGUGGCAAGCGUUAUCCGGAUUUAUUGGGCGUAAAGGGAAGCGAGGCGGGCUUGUAAGUCUGAUAGUAAAGCCUUCGGCUUAACCGGAGGAGUGCAUUGGAAACUGGGAGACUUGAGUGCAGAAGUGGAGAGUGGAACUCCAUGGGUAGCGGGGAAAUGCGUAGAUAUAUGGAAGAACACCAGUGGCGAAAGCGGCUCUCUGGUCUGUAACUGACGCUGAGGUUCGAAAGCGUGGGUAGCAAACAGGAUUAGAUACCCCAGUAGUC